CGGGGGGGCAAGCGUUGUUCGGAAUUACUGGGCGUAAAGGGCGCGUAGGCGGCCUGCUAAGUCGGACGUGAAAUCCCCCGGCUCAACCGGGGAACUGCGUCCGAUACUGGUGGGCUCGAAUCCGGGAGAGGGAUGUGGAAUUCCAGGUGUAGCGGUGAAAUGCGUAGAUAUCUGGAGGAACACCGGUGGCGAAGGCGGCAUCCUGGACCGGCAUUGACGCUGAGGCGCGAAAGCCAGGGGAGCAAACGGGAUUAGAUACCCCGGUAGUCCUGGCCCUAAACGAUGAGUGCUUGGUGUGGCGGGUAUCGAUCCCUGCCGUGCCGAAGCUAACGCAUUAAGCACUCCGCCUGGGGAGUACGGUCGCAAGGCUG
rnacentral:rRNA from 1 species